AUGCAAAUGUUGAAUUUGUAAAUGAAAUUAAACUAACAGGAGAAAUUGUCUUAAAGAAGGGGUUACCUUGUUACAAGAACCUGGGAUACUUUUGUUUCAUAAGCUCAAGCUGCGAUUUGGUUAUUGUUCAAUGGUCUCUUAGUUCGUCUUAUGUCGUGUGUAAAUUUGACAGGUUCUUACACGAAGGAUGAGCCAAGAGAAGGAGUGCCUCUCACAACAGGUUGCCUUCUGCAUCAGAAGACAUAAAAGAUUAAGCUACGGUAUUAGCGUACAAUCUUGCACCAAGAAGACCCUAAAUAGACACCAUGACCUCCUUUGUCUGCACUUCAAUUGUGGUUGAAUGUCUUCUUCAGAUGAGGAUCUGAAACAGCAACAGUUAAAGCUUUUAAAA